UGGGGGUUCGGCCCUCGGCGAACGGCUCAUAACACGUAGAUAANUUGCCCUUAGGUGGAGGAUACCCUCGGGAAACUGAAAUAAUACUCCAUAGAUUUAGAAUGCUGGAAUGCUUUUAAAUUGAAAGAUUUAUCGCCUAAGGAUAAGUCUGCGGACUAUCAGGUCGUAGUUAGGGUAAAUACCUGACUACCUACGACGGAUACGGGUUGUGAGAGCACUAGCCCGGAAUGAUAUCUGAGACACGAUAUCAGGCCCUACGGGGCGCAGCAGGCGCGAAAACUUCGCACUGUGCGAAAGCACGACGAGGGAAUCCCAAGUGCUGGCUCGUAAGAGUCAGCUGUUUCUUUGUCUAAAAAACAGAGAGAGUAGAGCUGGGUAAGACGGGUGCCACCGCCGCGGUAAUACCUGCACUCAAGUGGUGGCCGCUAUUAUUGGGCCUAAAACGUCCGUAGCCGGUUCUAUAAAUGCCUGGUAAAUCGUACGGCUUAGCCGUUCGACUUCCGGGUAUACUGUU
rnacentral:rRNA from 1 species